AAACUAGUUGAUGGCCCACUUUUCAAAAUGAAAGCUUAGUCUAUGCCAGAAAUUUGCCCUAAAAUUGACUUUGCAUAAACUGCAUUCGAUUAGGCAAUAACUCGCGUUGGAUGUAAUACAAUUGUUUCUAUCAAUUUACUUAAAUUAUUAUCUCCGCUUAUUCCGCAGCUCAGCAUUCGACAGCAUGUUGCUAUAGGGAAUAUUUUCAACGUCACACAGGCUAUAUUGUGCCUGGCAGUUGAAGAGUGCCAUCAUAAACCAUCUUUGGUGUCAUGGGAAUAGGGGUGGGUCGGGAGCCUCGCAGUCAUCCACUCAUACCUAAAAGUCACUGCUGAACACUGGGUAAAGUCACAUAGAUAGAUAUUCGCUCACACGAACAGCCCUGUGCUUGCGACGUGACAACCUGUAUGGCAUUCUGGAAACCACCGCGCGGUCAGUACAGCCAAAACGAUGAGGUCAGAGUUCACUGUCCGACCCUGCGGAUGAGGCACUCCUGCUGACUCACCCUACAGUAUACUUCGCCCUUAAUGGCCACUGCACCGCAGUGCUUCACUCUUGCCCUAAAUGGCCGACACACAGCAGUUCUUCACUGGCAAGCUUUAUGUUCCUGUAAACACGCUAAAGCUGCCAGCUGAAGAACUGCUCUGGUCAGCUCUGUCCGGCGCCAAGGGAGAAUAAAAAGCAGAGGAGGAGGAAGAACAUGAAGACAAAGAAAAGGAGUAGGAGGGGGAGUUUGGCCCAAAUUCAUCCUACCCACACAUACAUGAUUAUUCCUCCGUAUGUAUUCCUCUAGGUUUGAAUUAGUGUGUUUACUAUAGUUUUUAUAUUAGUACUAUAACUGUAUACUUAUAUCUUUCCAUCCAGCAAAUCAAACAUUGGAGACAAAUUGGCUUAUAGAUGAAUAUAGGAAUAUAUAUACUUGGUAUAGUGUAAUGUAUGGUAUCAAACAAUACAGUAUGUCAGAUCUGUUGUGAAUCUGCCACGUUAUGUAUAACUGAUAUAGCUGUCAUUUUAUUUUUUUACUGUAGUGCCUUUAUGCCUUACAAUAAAGUGAAUUGUUAGUCAA